GACGAACGCUGGCGGCGUGCUUAACACAUGCAAGUCGAACGAUGAAGCGGGUGCUUGCACUCGUGGAUUAGUGGCGAACGGGCGAGUAACACGUGAGUAACCUGUCCUUUUCUUUGGGAUAACGGCUGGAAACGGCUGCUAAUACUGGAUAUUCAGGCUGCAUCGCAUGGUGUGGUUUGGAAAGGUUUUUUCUGGGAUUGGGUGGGCUCGCGGCCUAUCAGCUUGUUGGUGGGGUGAUGGCUUACCAAGGCUUUGACGGGUAGCCGGCCUGAGAGGGUGGUCGGUCGCACUGGGACUGAGAUACGGCCCAGACUCCUACGGGAGGCAGCAGUGGGGAAUAUUGCACAAUGGACGAAAGUUUGAUGCAGCGACGCCGCGUGGAGGGUGUAGGCCUUCGGGUUGUGAACUCCUUUUUCUCGCGAAAAAGGCGCAGUUUUGGCUGUGUUGAUGGUAGUGGGGGAAGAAGCGCCGGCUAACUACGUG
rnacentral:rRNA from 1 species